rnacentral:rRNA from 1 species
AGCUCUAAUAGCGUAUAUUAAAGUUGUUGCAGUUAAAAAGCUCGUAGUCGGAUGUCGGGCUCGGGCAGGCUGUCGGCUUCGGUCGGACGGCAGGCUCGGGUCUUUCUGCCUGAGGAUCCAUCUCAUUCACUUGGGGUGGGGACGCAGGCCGUUUACUUUGAAAAAUUAGAGUGUUCAAAGCAGGCCUACGCUUGAAUACAUUAGCAUGGAAUAAUGGAAUAGGACUUUGGUGCUAUUUUGUUGGUUUAUGGGACCGAAGUAAUGAUUAACAGGGACAGUUGGGGCCGUUUAUAUUUCGUUGUCAGAGGUGAAAUUCUUGGAUUUACGAAAGAUAAACUUCUGCGAAAGCAUUCGGCAAGGAUGUUUUCA